UACGUAGGGGGGCAAGCGUUGUCCGGAAUCAUUGGGCGUAAAGAGCGUGUAGGCGGCCCGGUAAGUCCGCUGUGAAAGUCCAGGGCUCAACCCUGGGAUGCCGGUGGAUACUGUCGGGCUCGAGUCCGGAAGAGGAGUGUGGAAUUCCUGGUGUAGCGGUGAAAUGCGCAGAUAUCAGGAGGAACACCAAUGGCGAAGGC
rnacentral:rRNA from 1 species